rnacentral:misc_RNA from 1 species
GGUUGGGGGAGAACAUGCUGUUGAGAAAUAAGCACCACUGACAAAACAAACUGCACCCUACAUACAAAAUGGCCACAAGAAACGACAGGCGGAGAAUUUUAUACUAUGGUAGAACUCCAGCACAUCUCGAAGUAUUCAUUGCUGGAUGAUGCAAAGUCACUUCUUUUUUUUUACUUGCAGAGUCGAGGGCAAAGGUGCAGGCCUCUUCUUAGUAAAAGCUUUUGAUUUGCUUUCUGAUUCAUCUUCAUCACUUUCUUCAUCAACUUUCCCAUCUUUGUUGGAUAUUGUUGAUGCUUCAGAGCUCUUCAAUUUUCUUCUUUUCUCAGCAUCCAAUUUAGCACGUAGCCUUCUUUCAGCGGGGUCAUUUGAGAGUACUGUUUGGGAUUGACGUGGAACUGCAGCACCAAUUCCAAGCCUGGGUGGUCGACUCUCUAGAACAACCACAGUUGGGUUAGCAUCAUCAGAAGAGUUACCCAUACUGUUGACCCAUUGCUCAGCCAAUUUGAACGCCUUGUUCAAUACAACCAAUUGAGGACGUGAAGUUUUCUUUGAUGACUCUUCCAAACUUGUCGUCAUAUUAAACCACCAGGUAAGAUACAACAGAAUGCCCUAUGAGUUACUCUGUGAUGGGUUCUAGACCACAACCCAAGUGAAGCUUUUCUCAGCCUCUGCAAUAUCUUAAUCCCAUAUUUUCUA